UACAGAGGUCUCGAGCGUUAGGCGGAAUCACUGGGCUUAAAGCGUGUGUAGGCGGAUCGUUAAGUACCUUGUGAAAUCCCACGGCUCAACCGUGGAACUGCUGGGUAUACUGGCGAUCUUGAGCCACCUAGGGGCGAGCGGAACAAACGGUGGAGCGGUGAAAUGCGUAGAUAUCGUUUGGAACGCCAACGGUGAAAACAGCUCGCUGGGGGUGUGCUGACGCUGAGACACGAAAGCCAGGGGAGCGAACGGG
rnacentral:rRNA from 1 species